CCUACGGGGGGCAGCAGUGGGGAAUAUUGGACAAUGGGGGGAACCCUGAUCCAGCCAUGCCGCGUGUGUGAAGAAGGCCCUCGGGUUGUAAAGCACUUUCAGUGAGGAAGAACGCCUGGUGGUUAAUACCCAUCAGGAAAGACAUCACUCACAGAAGAAGCACCGGCUAACUCCGUUCCAGCAGCCGCGGUAAUACGGAGGGUGCGAGCGUUAAUCGGAAUUACUGGGCGUAAAGCGCGCGUAGGUGGCUUGAUAAGCCGGUUGUGAAAGCCCCGGGCUCAACCUGGGAACGGCAUCCGGAACUGUCAAGCUAGAGUGCAGGAGAGGAAGGUAGAAUUCCCGGUGUAGCGGUGAAAUGCGUAGAGAUCGGGAGGAAUACCAGUGGCGAAGGCGGCCUUCGGGACUGACACUGCCACUGAGGUGCGAAAGCGUGGGUAGCAAACAGGAUUAGAUACCCCUGUAGUC
rnacentral:rRNA from 1 species